rnacentral:tRNA from 6 species
GGACGUUUAGCUCAGUUGGGAGAGCAUCUGCCUUACAAGCAGAGGGUCGGCGGUUCGAGCCCGUCAACGUCCACCA